CCGUAGGUGAACCUGCGGAAGGAUCAUUAUUGAUUGGUCGAAAGACCUUAUCAGAUUCUACCACCUCUGUGAACUGUUGACCUCCGGGUCUAAUUCAAACAUCAGUGUAAUGAACGUAAAUCUUAUAACAAAACAAAACUUUCAACAACGGAUCUCUUGGCUCUCGCAUCGAUGAAGAACGCAGCGAAAUGCGAUAAGUAAUGUGAAUUGCAGAAUUCAGUGAAUCAUCGAAUCUUUGAACGCACCUUGCGCCUUUUGGUAUUCCGAAAGGCAUGCCUGUUUGAGUGUCAUGAAAUCUCAAUCCCUCUGGUUUUCUGAACUGGUUGGAUUGGACUUGGGUGAUUUGCCAGCAAUGGCUCGCCUCAAAUGACUUAGUGGAACAUCCCACAUCAGUGUUAGACGUAAUAAGUUUCGUCUCUCCUUGUGGUGAUGACUGCUUAGAACCUGCCAUCGCGCACCCUUUUGAUAUUGAUCUCACAUCCCGUAGGGCAACCCGCUGAACUUAAGCAUAUCAAUCAGCGGAGGA
rnacentral:rRNA from 1 species